ensembl:lncRNA
CCACUCCUUCCGGGCCAUGCGGACCCUACCAUAACAGACGGAGCCAGCGAGGGCUCGCCAGUAUCUCUCGGCAGCGAUUAUGGUGCGUUCCAGAGCCCACAAACCAGUGGGACGUGGGACUUAUCCUACCUCCAACUAAGAAAAAGGCACUGGAAUGCCUGUCGAAGUGGAACAUCCCACCGUCGAAGUGGAACCUCCCACUAUCGAACUGGGGGGUGAUCGACCUACCCCCACUUCACCAAAUUUAAGUCGGAGGAUAAUGGCGGCGCCCGUGCAGUCACAGUUCGUGCAAGUGUUUUUAGAUGAGGGGAUGAACGCCUUCCUAGAUGAAGAAAGAUCCCAACCCCUCAUGGGACCUCUAUACCAGCAGGAUUAUGACCGGAAUGCCUACUUCCUUGAUGAAGCCUGUACGGUCAGUGUUCAUAUUGUCCUUCCAGGUAGGUCAUGGAGCAGAUCUAAAUCAUUUUCAGCAAAAGAAUCAUGAGAAUAGCAAAGACAGUCACCACAUCCUAGAUUCCUGACAGAAACUGAGAGGGAGACAGGGACAGAGGACCAUGGAGAGGAGAGUAUGGAGGAAGAGUCCAGCAGCUCAAGUGCAUCACAGAUGCAAUGCAAUGAUAACUUUACUCGAGAGCAUACGCUCUUUCUUAUUGAUUUAAUGAGGAGACACCUAGAGGCAAAUGGGAGUGAACUCCCUCAGACCCUGGCAGAGCUUAAUAGCAGGAUAAAACAUGGGAAAGGCUCAAAGAAACAUAUGUGGGGGGAAAUGGCUGGUCAGCUGUCAGACCAUUUUGGUCAGAUAUUUGAUCCUGCACGGCUCAAUAGAAAAUGGAACACCCUUAUAGAUGGGUAUAAAAAAAUUAAGGAUAAUAACAGGAGCGCAGGGAGGGGAACAAUUCUCUUCAAAUUUUAUAAUGAAAUGGAUGCUCUUUUGGGGGCAAACCAUGAUGUCGAGUUCCCAGUUAUUGGAACUUCAGAGGGCAUCCAGAUUCGCAGGCCUGAUCUGGUCAAUGACGGUGGGCAGUUACUUGCAGCCAGCCCAUCUCCACAGGGUAGCAUAGCUAGCACAGUGAGCCCAGCACCGAGCACAGUGAGCCCAGAACCGAGCAGUGAGCACACCUAGCAGCAAUGUGACCUUGUGGAAUUACUCAAGAGUGUCAGAGUCUGCCAAUGGAAGGAGGCACAGUGAAUUAUUAAUUCAAAUGAAACAGGCUCAGACCUCCUUUGAAGUUCUAAUGAGAGAAUAUCUUAACAAGUCUCAAAGUGUUGGGUUAGGGUUAGGGUAGUGAACCAAGGUAGUAGUGAGUAGUAAUUUCUCUUGAAAAUUUAAACUAGCCAUAGCCUACUAUACCACUUGUUUGACACAUGUUCAGUGCCUAUACCACUUUUUGGACAACUUGUGUUAAAAAAAAUGUUAUAAUUAAAUGUAUUGUCAUAGCCUACUAUACCAUUUGUGCCAACAAUUUUUUGGACAUGCCUGUUAAAAAAUGUCAGUUAUUAAUUUCCAGGGCUUAUGUAUCAUGAUUUUUCAUAACUGUAUUCAAAUAAAG